CAGCCGCCGCGGGAAUACGUAGGGUGCAAGCGUUAAUCGGAAUCACUGGGCGUAAAGCGUGCGCAGGCGGUUUGUUAAGACAGAUGUGAAAUCCCCGGGCUUAACCUGGGACCUGCAUUUGUGACUGUAUAGCUAGGGUACGGUAGAGGGGGAUGGAAUUCCGCGUGUAGCAGUGAAAUGCGUAGAUAUGCGGAGGAACACCGAUGGCGAAGGCAAUCCCCUGGACCUGUACUGACGCUCAUGCACGAAAGCGUGGGGAGCAAACAGGAUUAGAUACCCCUGUAGUCCCUGUCUCUUAUAC
rnacentral:rRNA from 1 species